UAUGAUCGAAGUUUCAAUGACAUACUUUAAUUUAAUAGGGUCCUAAUUAAAUUAAGUUGUAUCGCUGAAAUUUCGAUCAUAAU